CAGGGUGUUUUUAAAGUGACUCAGCACUGACAUCUAGACAGAGUGUGCUGUGAUUGGUCUGACUUUUCAGUUAAGAAACAACUCUAAAAAUGACUCUGAAAAAAAAUGUUUUCCUCACUCAACCCAAAAAACUAAUACAGCAGUGAAACCUGAAAAUGUGGAUUUUGCAAUUACUGUAAAAUGCAUUCAAACACUAAUUUCUUUUGAAAAACAAAACACAAGAUUUACUUAAAUUGUGACAUAUUUUAAUAUAUUUAUUGACACAUCUCAAGGCACAACUGGUGGAAAUAUAUAUAUUAAUAUCUAAUAUUACAAUUCAGUGACACCGUUGUUGAAUGUUGGAUUGUAAACCUCUACAUAACAAAGUCUUUGUAGCAGAGGUUUAAAUGCACAGCAGAAAAUCCACACAAAAUGCUUCAGUUGUUCCAGUUUUUGAGUCAAACGCAGCCAAUCAGGGAUUUUUUCCACAACGCCAUCAAUCUGCAAGAAGACAAGAAGACAGGGGAAAUUAGCGAUGCACAAAAAAGAGACAGAGUGAAAUUGUCAUAUUUUUCACAGUCUGAAUCAUUGAGGACAGUGAGAUUUCCUGAGAUGCGACUCACAGGACUGACGCAGCAGAUUUAGAGUCCAAUUAUUAAUUUUUUUUAUCUUUUAGGUGUCAGUGAGGAAUACAGAAGGGACUCCCUCUUCAUGACUACCAAUAUCUGUCUGUGUUUGAGUCUGCACUCCUUCACCUCUGACCCUUGAAGUCUGGAGCAUCAGGAGGACACACAGUCUGCAGGGAACCCCACAAUUACACACACACACACACACACACACACACACACACACGGUUCUGCUGUCUGGUUUUGCACCGUCAUGACUGAGCAAGAUAAGGAGCUGACUAGAGAAGAGAGAAGGGAGCUAAUCCUAAUUUGUCCAGACUUUAAUCCUGACCAUAAAUGAAAAGCAGCGACAAGAGGACAGACCCUUUGCACAUUUAAAUUAUUCAGCAAAACCCUCCAUAAAACCUACAAUCACUUCAGGUUGAUAGAUUUGAAAUGUCUUAUUUCUGCUGCUGCUCCAACAGCGCAGCCUGAUGGGCAGUAUAAAAAAAAAUAAAAAAUUCAAGGUGUGUGUGGGUUGUGAGGAGGAGGAAGUGGGUAGUUAUGAUUGAAGAGAUCAGAGCUAGACUCCGGUCCCUGGGUGGAUGCAGGGUUUCAGAUAUUGGGCAAUUAUGAGGGGCCUUCCUGUGGCCUGUAGGGCUCUCCAGGGCUCCUCUGCUGCCCACACUGUCCCAACAACCAGCUAAUGUAUGCAGAGGGGAGCCUACAAUCCUGUCUCCACUAACCACACGCACAGAAACACACUUGUAAAGACUGCAAUAUGACGCGAAAUACACAAGUUUUGAUUUCAAUAAAAGCAGGAGUGAAGGAGGAUUGCUGUGAUCCUAAAAAUGAUGCAACAAUGAGGAGACAAAAAUAGGAAUAUGAGCUCAAGGAAGACACACAGACACAAGAGGUGGAUUUACUAUUUCCAGUCACAGCGUAUCUUAAAAUAUGAUUCCUUCUCUGCUUCCUGUCUUUUCUGAUUCCCUUCUCUUAUAAUCUUAAAAUAACUACAGGAGUUUUAAUAUCUUUGUGGAAAAAAAUAACACCAGAUGGCCCCUAUGGUAGUCUAUAAGUCACAUGACUGUAUAUGAGGAAACUAAAAAUAACCUCAGACAGCUGAGUAAAGCUUAAAGCGCUGGAGAACAGUUCUGUUUAGCAAAAUUUGGUCAGAUACUUGAGAUUUUAUGUGGACUGUUGUGAAGCUCAGCAGGUUUUCACCAAUAAAACCUGCAAAACAGGGUAAAAUAUAACACAUCAGCUGCCUGUCCUCUGUAAUAUAUAUUAACGGUUGGGUUAUUAAGACCGAAAUUACCAGGUUUGACAAGAAAAUGCUCAUCAACACUUCCAACUAAACUUGGACUUGCCUUUAAAGAUUUUCUUUGAGACUAAACUUGAGCUGAAGUACGUAAAAACGGUCACUGACACUUCACUUUUCCAACUUCUCCAACACACUGUUCACGUAAUUGUCCACCUCUCCUACAAGUCAAUCUGUACGUGAUAAUCUCACGGGAAACAAGUAAAUCUUUUCCCACACAUUAAGCAGGCAAAACGCAAGAAGCGUGUGUGUGAGACAGAGUUGAUAAAGUACAGGAGGUGUAAAAAGACACAGAAAAAGCCUGAAUAUGUGCCCAUGAGAAGGGUGUAUAUGUGCAGGGGUGUCUACGGGACUCUCCCCCGUUCCUUCUGUAUUUGCCCCCUCCUCCCCCACCACACACACACACACCCUUAUUCUGACAUUGUGUCCGUCCAACAAAGACGUCCCUGCAGCCCCCUCAUUAUAAAUACAUGUCAUUGGAUCACAGCUCGUCUGAAUCCCUGAGUCUGCUGCGCUCUAAGUGGCCGUGACUGAGCCCUGAAUGGGUGGCCGAGCGACAGCUAUACCAAUAGAGCCAACAGUGUGUGUGUGUGUGUGUGUGUGUGUGUGUGUGUGUGUGUGUGUGUGUGUGUGUGUGUGUGUGUGUGUGUGUGUGUGUGUGUGUGUGUGUGUGUGUGUGUGUGUGUGUGUGUGUGUGUGUGUGUGUGUGUGUGUGUGUGUGUGUGUGUGUGUGCGCACGCAGCCUCGGCCUAUGGGAAUGAAAGCUUCUCAGCAGGACGAGGUCAGAGGUCAGGCUGUCUGUUAUGCGCAAGAACACGUACACACACAUGCACUUUUCUGGAUAUUGCUCAAAACUGAGAAAUGAUGAAGAAAAAAAAGAAGCUGUGAUUAAAUUAAAACAGUUCGAUUCUUUUGAAGUGUGUUAACAGUUAAGGGCUGCAUCUAUGGAGGAGGUUUGCUUUAAAUCUGGGGCAAUACGUUUCCUGCUGCCUCAACAACAAAGCUGCACGACUCCAGUCCUGGUUCACUUAGAAGGAGGGAACAAGGUGUGUGUGUGUGUGUGUGUGCAAAUGUGUAUGUAUAUGCGUGUGUGUAUAUGUGAGGGUAUUUGUGUGUGUGUGUGUGUGUGUUGAAAGAGCUCAUCCUAUCUCGUUUUGCAGGGGAAAUGCGAAAGUGUCUCUCUCCCUCUGGAACCACAAACCAGGCCACAGUGUUGUACUCUCAUUCCUCUCUCUCUCUCUCUUCUAUUUCGGAGUCAAAGUUUGCAUUUCUCUCAGGGUAUAACAAAGUUUUCCUCACUCUACUUUCACUCGAGUUUAGAACCCCCAGAGACGUGACCCGAAGUCGACUGGAAAUCAAUAAUUAAAGAAUAACUAAUCACCGGCAGUCAUGCUAAACUUCCACACGAGUUAUCUUACAGUUAGACUUGAGUUCACUGAAUGGUAAAAAUACAAGGAUUUCACUGAACAAAUGAAUCACAUGUGCUUAGUUGUGAGUGAUCUAAAUAAAAGGGGGACAUUUAGUGUGUUUUAUUCUAUACUAUGUCUGUGUGUUGCAGAUCGUCCACUGGGUUCAUUAAUGCAGCACGGCAGCAAUGAGAAGAAGAAGCAGCGAUGGCGGCUGCCCAUGCUAAUCACCUCUUCUAUCCCACCACCGUCCAGCACGUUUGCCUAUAUAUUAUAUAUAUAUGUGUCUCCUCCCUCUCACUAGACGAGGACCCUGAAUAGCUGCCCGCGAACGCCGCCUGAUGGGAAUCAAAGGUGCCAUGGCAAAGGUUUAAAAGGAUAGAAGCCUGCCAUCAUCUCAGCUGAUUAUGCAGCAGUGAUGGAGAGGGAAUGUGGGAAAGAGAGCAGGGGAAUGACACGCAGCAAAGGUCCAGCUGGACAGAAGUCAAACCGAGGACUCAGCUGUUGGGGGAAUUUCAGUCCGUGUGGUUUGAACCCUCACCACUUGGCCAUCAGGUCGCCAACAAAUGUAUGACAUCUGCUGAAAACAAACCCACGGAGGAUGUAAUGGAGUCGCCGCACAUUUCGGAGGGAUGGAAAACGCCUGAGGAGCGCUGUGACCCCCGUAUAUUUCCCACAGUUUUCCUGGACGACACGCAAGUAGAGCAUUAUUCCUCCUCUUAUUUGCUGUUCAAAUGGAAAGCACGCCGGGCAUAAUGCAUCAUCUGCAUUCUGCAACCUGCCACGCUGAAAGACUCCUCUCCUCCUUCUCUCUCUUCAUCUCUGUUCCUUCUAAAGCUGCCGAGGGUGUAUUCAAACAGCAGGAUACACACUCAGCUAACAAACCUCAUUAAGGGCCCAUACACACUUUCUCAAUGCUAACACUAGCUGUCACACAUCCUCUCUCAAUGCACACACUGGUGGCCACACUGACCGCAACAAAGCAUCUUUACAGAGCUAAUUAGAAGGGUCCCCCUCACUAUUUGAAACUCAUCUGAAUAGGAGGGAACAUGAUAAUGAGGAGGAGAGAACGAGAUGGAGAAGGAGGGACGGUCGGGAGCGAGGAGGAGAAAAGGAGUCGGUACCCGAGAGCCAGAGAGGAUGCUUUGCUAAUAUAUUCACAGAGAUAGCCGCUGUGUUUUUCAUAGUGUGGAAUUAAAGCGAGGGGCUCACGCAGGCAGGGGGAACUGAAUUAGUGUGACACCGCUCUGCGAGGCUCUGAUGCAGCGACGGAGGCGAGCGGGGAGGGAAGUGAGUGCUGCACCAUUUUGAUUGGUGUGCCAGUAUCUAGAGAGAGAUAGAGGGAAGGAAUGGGUGGGACCCCACCUUCAUGGGGAAGGCGGUAAAAGAGCAGCUGCUGACAUGGACGACAUUUCACAGAGCUUCAUGAGGAGCUUGAUUUGAUUUUUAACGUGACUGAACAAACUGAAAUGAGCACAAUACAACACGUGGAACAAUGAGACACAAAGCUAAUGAACUCGGUAAAUGUGGGAUGUUCUUUUCCCCUUUUUUGCCUUUUCUGUUCAUGCUAAUUACUGUUAAAAAUCACUGAGUUUACUGGUGAUAAAAAGAGACAGGAUGUUGUAUAAAACGCUGCCGUUUUCUUUGAGCUCCUCACAUUUUGUAUUUAUGGAAGGACAGAAGGUCACAUUGAGAGUUCAGCUCGAAGACAUUCCUCUGUAGUUGCCAUAUCAUUUGCCAACCUCCCUCUAUUUCAUGUUUAAAUUUUUCUUUUGUGUUUCCCUGAAUAAGUGUGUGUGUGACUCUAUGUGUGUGUGUGUGUGUGUGUGUGUGUGUGUGUGUGUGUGUGUGUGUGUGUGUGUGUGUGUGAACACAGACAAUGCCAAGUUGACAGUUAGGGUCUCGGGUCAAGCACAAGGCCAAGUUUGUCCUCACAGACUAAGUGAAUGGACACAACAAAAACUGCAGAAGUAUUGCACUAUUUCUCCAAAAGGUUUACAAAACGAAACCAUAACAUUUCAAAUGAAUCAAAUAUUACAUUUUUUUUGUGAUAUUGAAUUUCAAAAAUAAUUGUAGUAAUAUUUAAAAUUUGACAAAUUGCAAAUGCAGUGAGAACAAAGCGGACUCUGCCAAGUCUUUCAAAAUGCAUAAAGAGCAAAGGGGGGUUAAAAAAAAAAAAAAAAAAUCAUAAUCCAGGCUCUUUUCAGUCCUUAGCAGAAUUUUAAGUUCAAGUUGAAGUUAUGACCUAAUUGUUGUCUCAUCAAGCCCAGUGGCCCCUGAUGGGAGUGCAAAGCAUUCUGGGAGAAUAGCAGGUGUCCCCAUGUCACAGAGCUUCCCAGACAGCUUGUUAAUUUGCACAACUUUUACACACGAUCUCUGCCUGGAUGUGUGUGUGUGUGUGUGUGUGUGUGUGUGUGUGUGUGUGUGUGUGUGUGCAUGUGCGUGUGCAUGCGUGUCUAUGUAUGCGUGUAUAUAUUAGCGAUGGGACUUGACCCUAGCGAGCUGCGGCACUGUUUCGCGUCUUGCUGGGCGUGGGAAAAAGACGGGACCCCUUUUCACAGCUGCCUGGCCGAGGCCUGGGCUGCUGGGGGCCCCCUGUACCCCCUGCACACACACCCCCAGUUCCCCCUUGUCCGACUCCCCCCACUCCUCACCCUCCUCCCCCUCCUUCUAUCCCAUUCAGGCUCCAGCCUACUGGCUUUCAAAAGCGGGACCCCCUUCCCAGCCCUUCAUAAAUACAUCUCAUUAUUCAAGCCCUAGUUUGCAUAGGGAUUCCAAAGAGAUCUCCACUCCGCUCGUGAGGUCUGAAGCCCCUCUGCCUUUUGGACCGCACAAGUGCAAAUUUCGACUUAGUAAUCUCCCUGUGUUAAUAUUUGUUUUAAAACGAUGUGUGCACACUUGCAAAACCCCGUUUCGCCUGCCCUGCUAUAAUUUUCUGAUUUGAUUCAUGUUCAUCUCAAAAAUUUCUCUCCCACCCUCCAACCCCCCCCCCAGAAUGAAGCAGAAAAUCUGGAGAAACUAAAGCCGAUGAAAAGAGAGUUUAGCAUGACUAUUAGCAAGUGCUUUGCUAGUCUGUAUUCCAUCUGCCACAGGCUAUUGUACAGUACCUCACACACACACACACACACACACACACACACACACACAUUCACACACACUUCAAACCCUCUACUACGCGCUCACCCCCCCCCCCACACCCCCAUUCUCCAUUCGCUGCAAUGCAUUACUGCAGAGAUUUAUCUCCUAUCAGCCUGUAUAAUACUGAGGUUAUAAUUUACAUCCACUUUAGAAAACAGCAGCACAGGCCGGUCCUUGCAUAUGCUAAUAUAAAGCUUGGGAAAAUCUGGGUGACUCAAAGAACUCCAUACUAAAUUUGAAUAACUGAGCUUUCUAUUGAGCUUCAAGGUUGUGGAACCAUGAAGAUUUGACCUUGCUAACAAUAUGUACUUACUGUUUAAUUCCUAAUUCUCAACAAUUUAAGGUGGGAAUUGGAGGGAACAUUUCGACAACCUUAAAGCUGGGAACGUUUCAGUUGCCAUCUUGCAGAAAUAACUGGAAUAAGAAAUUCUUAAAGUUUUUUUUCUAUGUCUUGGGAGCCGUAAAAUUGUGAAUUUUAAUUUUGAAAUUAGGGUAAAAACCAAAAACAUCUUGGCAGGCUGUGAUCUCAGAGAAGACGAUGUAUCCCAACUGUUUUGACCUAAUGCUGCCAUCGCUGAAUUAUGCAUGUUGCUAUACCUUCAUGCAAAUCAAUUUCUUGCUGGCAGUAAUCAGGAGACUCUGGACAAGGGGAGGGUGGCUCGUCAAGGCAUUAGGGGCGAAAAGGACAGAGCCACCCAAACGCUCUUUCCACAUGAGCAGGUCCAAACCUUGGGUGAGCCCUACGCCUCGGCUCUCCUAACGGGAUAAAGAACCGCAGCAAAGAUUACACGGCAACCUCCCCGGCACCUACCACACACUCUACCUGACAAAUAGGAUCAUAGUGUUUAAAGGGAUAAAACGCUGAAUGUAUGAGAAUGAAAAAGAGAGCUGCGUGUGUCUGAGUGCGAGCAGGAUGAGGAGGGGGGGUUGAUGUACAACGUAAAAAAAUGUUAAUACUUCAAAGGAGAAAGGAAUGAUGGAAUUCAACAUGGAGGUCCUACUUGACUCGCUGAAAUCAGGCCGUUUUCACCCUCUGUUGCUGCAGGCUACUCUCUGUUGCUGUUACACACUGUAUGUAUAUUCUGAGAUAUACAUGAAUGGUGUAAAACUGACAUUUACACUGUGUGCAAGUAAAAAUGGCAGUAAAUGUCUCUUUUAAUUCCCCCUUUUUGGAGCAGAGCUUUAAAAUUCAUUCCUGAUGCAAAUAAUAAUAGAUUUUUUUUUUUUUUUUAACAAAAACUCCCAAUAUUUCAAAAUUCAGGCUCAGGCUGUCUCUUUACCACUAUCUUUUUGACACCCACACACAACCAACUCCAGCCACACAGAAUAUGGACAACAAUCAACCACCAGCAAAGCUCCAUCGCUGGCUGAUGAUACAAAACUAUUUGCAAGCCUCCAGCAUUUUCAAGUUUGACCUCUUAACUCUGUGUACUUAUUGUUAUACCCAAAAUAUAUAAGGAAGAAGAUGCAUAUUGGUUCUGCAUUUGGCAUUAUUUUUUGAAUAUUUACCUGCAGGCUGACUGUUGCUCUUCAUUCUGUCCGGUGGCUUUUUGUCUUCAUUGUGACUUAACACGAACUUUAGGUCUGACGAUGCCGUCAUUUUCCUUUAAAGGCAAAAGAAGAGAGAAUCAGUGGGUGUGAAGUCACAUAUGUAGCUCUCAUCUUUAAUAAAACUUUGUAUUUUAGCAAUGAAUUAGCAGCUUGUAAGGCAAAGAAAGAAACCACAAGACAGAAAGGAGAAAUUAAUGCAUUUGUGUUGACCUUGCAGCUAAAAGCUGUCUCCUAAACUUGUUUUACUUUCGGCACAAGUGCUUCUUUUUUUUCUUCAUGCACUUCUCAUUAUUCUACAAGGUUAAAUAUAUAUUGUGUUGCUUGCACACUAAAUCAUGCUUGAAGUGUUUGUGGGGAGCCAAAAAAUGUUAGAUGUCACGGAAAAGCCACACAAAACUAUUUGUAGUGAAUAACUACACCACAAAGCGAUGGUACACAAUGUUUUAUCUGGACAGCAUCACAGUUGCUAAGCUACUAAAAUGCAGGACAAGACAUGAAGAAUGUUGCAUACAGAAUAAAAAGAAUAAAUUCUAAACAACACAGUCACAGUGCAGAUGCAGAUGACAUAAUCCCACAACGUUUUAAUCCCUGACUUUCUUUGCAUUCAGUCAAGAUGGAGGACGUGCAGGUCAAACCGCAUGCACCGGCUCAAACUGCACCCUGGCAAACGUCAACAACACAGAUACAGCAUCUGAGCUCUCUCGUUUAACAGCGCACAUCAAAUAUUGUCAGUUAUGGUCUAAAUAGAGCAUGCUGGGACUUCAGGGAUAUUCAGUCAUCUCUGAGGCUUGCUGAUUCUGCUCUAAGAAUAGAUCAAACUCUGAGCCGAUGUCCUAUUUUGUUCUUAUCUAGCAGGCGAACACGGAAAUAAUCCACGCAGUGAAACACAAAUUUGAACAUAUCUGCCAUGUCUAACUUGGUUUCAGCUCGAGAGCUCGUUCAGAAUAGGCUGAAGAUGGCCUCUUUAAGCCUACAUGUCUGGUGCAGUGUGGUGUUGAUGUGUUGCACCCUGCAGGUUCUGGUUUGGGCAGCAACGAACCAAACAGUUGGUAUGUGACACCCAGAUGAUGGAAAAACACUGAUAGCAGGUUAGCUCACAGUCUAGUAGUUUCUUCAUUUUGCACCAAGCAAUGUGCAUGUGCAUCCAAUUACACAUCACACUCCUAAUGUCAAGUUAAUCACAGCCAGGGGACAUCACUUAGACUACACCACUCAUAAAGGAAAUACACUGAGAGGAUCAGAGGAGUCAGGGAGUCUGCACUUGCAGUGGAUGCAGCUCUGCAGCACGAAUUUAUACUGUCUAAUUAGUGGCUUUAAUGAAGACUGUUCCAACUUCUGGGGCCCCACAAGAAAUCACCAGAACCAACGUGAGAUCUUAGAAAGCGAUCUGAUGCUGCUGCUGCUGCUGCUGCUGCCAACACCGUCACGUGAGUCUCGAUCCGACCAAUCAUGUGGCCCCUUUAACUAUUUCUGUCUCACCCCUCAAGACAUGACUGUUAUAACACCCACACAGUUAUGACAACUACACAACAGCAUGCACCGUGGGUUUGGAGCAUGAUUUGCCACACGCAGCUUUCUAAUCGUGUCCAGAAAGUUGAUGAAAACGCCGAUUUAUUGAUGCCCAAAUAGGCCCCAGCAUCACCGCGAUGCCCAAACCCCCCCAAAAACAGCAACAUUCACGCCCUCGCAUCGCAGACACGCGAGUGGCUCUCUGGACGUGUCUCUCCAGAACAAGUGGACCACCACCUCUAAAAUCAUCCUCCCUCCCCUCUUAUUUCCACCACUCCUCCUCGUUAACGGCGGCGGCGGCGCUCAGCUUCCCCUCAGCACCUCGUCCUGCUCCAUGCUGCUGCUGCUGCUGCCGGCAUCAUCAUCACCUCCUCCUCUUCCUCCUCCUCCAUGGCCAGAGCGAGAGAGGACCCCUCUGGCUCCGAAGUGCUCGGUGUCAGUUCGUACUUUCGGUUCUCUAGCUUUAUGAAAUUAAAACUCAUACAGCUAGAUAACCAAAGACACAAACUAACCCGUCGUCUCUUAAAGGGGCCGCCUCUCCGGUAAACAGAAGAAAACAGAGAGAGAGAGAGAGAGAGAGAGAGAGGCUGCCUGUGGUGGUCACACUGAUCCGAGAGCCACACACACACACACACACACACACACACACACACACACUACAAUAAAAGAUAUUUAUCCAAUAUCUAUUUCACACAUCCAUCACUACGCGACAGAUGGAGUUAAAGUGCAGGUUGUCCGUGUCUGACACACUCACACCUUCACUCACACACACUUUAACUGCCACAGAGACCCAAACUCCCCAACUAUGACAAUCUCCCACCAUCAAAUACCAAAUUUAACUUGCAGCCACAAUUACGCACACUGGUGCGUAAAAGCUAACAAACAAACAAACAAAAAAGCAUAUACUUUACAAGUGUAACACAAGUCUGGUGCCAAAGCAUCGUUUUCUUUUGCACAUGGAGCAUCCCAAGUGCAUGUAGCUGCAGGCCGGACACACUGAACAUGCAACUAACCGUUUGGAAUCUUAUUUUUAGGAGCUUCUUGUGCCAGGUUUCUGCCUCUUGUGUGGAGCAUCAAUCCUAACGCACAGGCAAAGUUACCUUUAAACGGCCUUCAAUUGUGCCGUUAAAGUCACAGCUUUCCAAACCACACAACGCCUGCCACAAUCAAACAUAAAGAUGAAAGCUGCCCACGAGGCUAUUUCCAUACCGGUUACAUCAGUCAGCAUCCCACUUACUUG